AUAAACAUUAAAAAAAAUUUUUUUAAGGAAAAGAAAAUUUUUUAAAUAUCGCUUACCUUCUGAUCUCACAAUUCUAUUUCAAGAAAACUACAAUAUGGAAAUAAUGGGGCAAGUGCACAUAUAUUUAUGUGUAAGUAUUAAGCAUUAUUUAUAAUAGCAUAUAGGAAAACAAAAAUUAAAUUUCCAUCUGUGGAGCAUCGGAAAAACUGUUUUAAAGCACAUCCAUAAAAUGGAAUACUAUAUAGCCAUUAAAAAAUAAUGAACUAAAUAAAACAGCACCAGAGCUCUAGGAAGAGAGUUUCUGAGAGAAGUCCUAUAUUGGAAGGAUAAAGUUUAAAUUGUUUAAGCUUCCAGAUAGAAAAGAAAAUAGCAGCAAUGAAAGAAAAAUCAGCGUUGUCACUGGACUUGUCACCAGGAACACCAAUUAACGUUAUGUUUCCGCAAAAGAUCAGCACAAAUGUGGCUUCAGACUGCUAAACUGGCUCUGGCUCUCUGCUAUGUAACAAAACACAAAACUACAGAUCCACUUAGUCAAUCAGCCAGAGAGCUAAGGAAAUGUGAAUAAAUAAUCAGAUAAAAUGAAGGGUAAUCUUAAGCAUGACUGAAAGCGUCAUCAUUCAAGAUUUCAUCUCUAGCUAUGACUGCCACCUACUGGGCUAAAACAAAAAUCUUCAUCAAUACAAUCAGGACAAACCAUUUUGAGUAAAAUAUGAAAAAAGAGCAAGGAAGAUAAAUAUUAUGAUAUGCAUCAAUUUUCAGGGGGCCUUCUGUUUAUACCAUUAGCAAAGACUCAGUUGUUUUUUUUUUAAUUAGUGAUUUAUGCCAUACUGACAAUUUCAACUAAAAGAACACUGUCUCACCUCUGAAGUUCCUGUGGAUGACAUUCCCCCAGGGUCUCUACACCACUGUAUGAACAUCACAAUGACAGUAUGCAAGAGCUACUAUAUGAGUUCCUAUGUCAAUCUUCCCUCUGUCUUAGGUGAGCUCACAAACAGAAACCUUAUUCACUUGGACAUCUGUUGUAUCAGUGAAUGUGCUGAAUCAAACAAUUCAUGAAAAGAAGCUUGAAGACAACGUAUCUUAAUUAACUGUUGUCUAUUUUAUAAACAUAAAUCGUACCUUCAACAGAAUUCUCAACCCAAGUAGUUUUGCCUCCUGGGGGAACAUUUGGUAAUACCUGGGUACAUUUUUAGUCGUCGCGCUGUAAGGAAAGGUAUGGCAGUGACAUCUAAAGCAGCCAGGGAUUCUACAAAACUUCUACAAUACAGAAUAACAAUCCUAACACCAAAAAAAAAAAGAUCACCCAGCUCCAAA